rnacentral:rRNA from 1 species
UACGGAGGAUGCGAGCGUUAUCCGGAUUUAUUGGGUUUAAAGGGUGCGUAGGCGGAUCGUUAAGUCAGUGGUCAAAUUGAGGGGCUCAACCCCGGCCUGCCGUCGGAACUGGGUGCCUUGAGUGGGCGAGAAGUACGCGGAAUGCGUGGUGUAGCGGUGAAAUGCAUAGAUAUCACGCAGAACUCCGAUUGCGAAGGCAGCAUACCGGCGCCCAACUGACGCUGAGGCACGAAAGCGUGGGUAUCGAACAGG